rnacentral:lncRNA from 1 species
CUAGGUGCUAGGAAUUUCUUGAAGGAAAGUGCAGCUACAAUGAAUUUCCAUUUGGGUAUGCUCCAUUACACCAAGUAUUGCUGAAACACAACAGCAGUUGACAUUUUUGCUGGGUAAUAUGCAAACAUUGAGGGAAGGUGUAGUCAUGCUAAUAAGAAAGAGAAUUUGACUUGCACAGAAUCAUGUUUCUUCCAACAGAAUGUUUAAACAAUGCUCUGACUCUUUUUUCCAUGAAGGAGAUUAAAGCUACUUAUUAUUUGGGGGGUAUAAUUUAUAUUUAAACAUGAUAUGUAUGGAAUUUAAGAAAUUCAUUUCAGAUAUGUGAAAGUUAACAUUGGUAUGUGUAUACACACGUGCACACACGCACACAUGGGUUUGUGUGUAUGUCGGAGAGGAUCCAGGGUGACAAAAGUAAUGCCAAAAUCAUAAUGUUGAGAAAAAUAUGAAAGGUAAAUCAAAUCUUUAUUUUCAUAAAUUGCUCUCCAAUCCAGUAGUGAUAAAGUGCACGUGAAAAGACUGUAAUGUCACUUUGAAAAAAAUAUUUACCAGUUUUCAGGAAAUGAAUGUGUUUGCAUAAAACGCACUUGGCAAUUACGUAAGUUUUUUUCUUUAUCUGUUUAUCAAACAGUUGACCGUUAAGGUCUCUUUGGUUGUGCUGGGGCACUUGAUAUGCAGGCUCUUAAGCUUUCAAAAACAUGAUACAUGAGCACCUACUUCCUGCUGACUGGCAUUAUGAAGAGUUAGACUAGGGGCAGUGUAAUAACCUACUUUGAUGGCAAAUUACAUUUUUGUAAUUUGAAAUCAAUUGUAUUUUUUCUCAGAUAUUUCUCAGAUAUUCUAGUUAGUGAGCAUAUAGUGUAAUACUGAUUUUAGAAGUAGAAUUACAUGAUCCAUCACUCAGUGCUCAACAUAACAAGUGCCUUCCUUAAUACUCAUCACCCACUGAGCCCAUCCCCACCCACCUUCCCUCUAACAGCCUCGCUUUGUUUAGUUAGUGAAGAGUCCGUUUACUUCCCUCUUUUUUUCCCCUUCUAUAUUCAUCUGUUUUGUUUCUUAAAUUCUACAUAUGAGUGAAAUCAUAUGGUAUUUGUUUUUCUCUGACUUAUUUUGCUUAGCAAAGUACACUCUAGCUCCAUUCAUGUCGUUGCAAAUGGCAAGAUUUCAUUCUUUUUGAUGGCUGAGUUGUGUGUGUGUGUGUAUAUACACACACACACACACACACACACACACACACACACACACACCAUGUCUUCUUUCUUCAUUCAUCAGUUGAUGGACAUUUGGGCUCUUUCCAUAAUUUGACCAUUGCUGAUAAAGCUGCUUAUAAACAUCAGGGUGCAUGUGCCCCUUCAAAUCAGUAUUUUUGUAUCCUUUGGGUAAAUACCCAGUAGUGCAAUUGAUGGAUUAUAAAAUAGUUCUAUUUUUAACUUUUGGGAAGCCUCCAUACUGUUGCACCAGUUUGCAUUCCAACCAGUAGUGAAAGGGGGUUCCCCUUUCUCCACAUCCUUGCCAACAUCUAUUGUUUCCUGUGUUGUUAAUUUUAGCCAUUUGACAGGUGAGAGGUGAUACCUCAUCAGGGGUUUUCAUUUGUGGUUCCCUGAUGAUGAAUGAUGCUGAGCAUCUUUUCAUGUGUCUUUUGGCCAUCUGGAUAUUUUUGGAAAAAUGUGUAUUAUUCAUGUCUUCUACCCAUUUCUUAACUGGAUUAUUUUGGGGGGUUGACUAUUGAGUUUGGUAAGUUCUUUAUAGAUUUUGGAUACUAACCCUUUAUCAGGUAUACAACUUGCUGAAAUCUCUUCUAAAUACAUUAGAGGUAGGGGCACCUGCAUGGCUUGGUUGGUUAAGUGUCCAACUCUUGAUUUUGGCUCAGGUCAUGAUCUCAGGAUCAUGAAAUAGAGCUUCAUGUCAGGCUCUGCACUCAGGAAGGAGUCUGCUUGAGAUUCUCUCUCCUUCUGCCACCUCCACCCUAUUCUUGC